CGUCAAAUCAGCACGGCCCUUACGUCCGGGGCGACACACGUGUUACAAUGGGUGGUACAGAGGGAAGCUACUAUGUGAAUAGGUGCCAAUCUCGAAAGCCAUUCUCAGUUCGGAUUGGAGUCUGCAACUCGACUCCAUGAAGUUGGAUUCGCUAGUAAUCGCGCAUCAGCCAUGGCGCGGUGAAUACGUUCCCGGGCCUU
rnacentral:rRNA from 1 species